UACGUAGGGUGCGAGCGUUAAUCGGAAUUACUGGGCGUAAAGCGUGCGCAGGCGGUUCGUUAAGUCAGCUGUGAAAGCCCCGGGCUCAACCUGGGAAUUGCGGUUGAAACUGGCGAACUAGAAUCUGGCAGAGGGGGGUGGAAUUCCACGUGUAGCAGUGAAAUGCGUAGAGAUGUGGAGGAACACCGAUGGCGAAGGCAGCCCCCUGGGCUGAGAUUGACGCUCAGGCACGAAAGCGUGGGGAGCAA
rnacentral:rRNA from 1 species